ACCUCCCUAGCUUAAGAUUAAAAGUGUUAGUUUGAAGGGCUAAAGAUACUAUUAUGUGGGAGGUGC
rnacentral:tRNA from 1 species